rnacentral:rRNA from 1 species
UACAGAGGGUGCAAGCGUUGUUCGGAAUUAUUGGCGUAAAGCGCGUGUAGGCGGCUUAGCAAGUCGGGCGUGAAAGCCCUCCGGCUCAACCGAGGAAGUGCACCCGAAAACUGCUGAGCUUGAGUGCCGGAGAGGAUGGCGGAAUUCCCCAAGUAGAGGUGAAAUUCGUAGAUAUGGGAGGAACACCGGUGGCGAAGGCGGCCAAUCUGGACGGUAACUGACGCUGAGACG